rnacentral:rRNA from 1 species
UGCGUAGGCUGCAUGAUAAGUCAGGGGUGAAAGCCCACAGCUCAACUGUGGAAUUGCCUUUGAUACUGUCAAGCUUGAAUUAGGUUGAGGUUGGCGGAAUGUGACAUGUAGCGGUGAAAUGCAUAGAUAUGUCAUAGAACACCAAUUGCGAAGGCAGCUGGCUAGACCUUAAUUGACGCUGAGGCACGAAAGCGUGGGGAGCGAACAGGAUUAGAUACCCUGGUAGUCC